rnacentral:rRNA from 1 species
AUACGGAGGGUGCAAACGUUAAUCGGAAUUACUGGGCGUAAAGCGCGCGUAGGCGACCAGGUAAGUCAACUGUGAAAUCCCGGGGCUCAACCCCGGGGCUGCAAGUGAUACUGCCUGGCUAGAGCUCGGUAGAGGCAAGUGGAAUUCCCGGUGUAGCGGUGGAAUGCGUAGAUAUCGGGAAGAACACCAGUGGCGAAGGCGGCUUGCUGGGCCGAUGCUGACGCUGAGGCGCGAAAGCGUGGGGAGCAAACAGGAUUAGAUACCCCGGUAGUCC